UUCUAAGUAUUAGAAAGUCUACCAAAGAUAAAGAAGAUCAUUUGGAUUAUUAAACUUGUCUGCAUACUUUCAAGGGAGAGUGAUUGAGGGCUGGAUUGCAUCUAUCUAUUUUACGAAAACUCACUAACAAGAACUGAAUCUCUACCUCCAGGAACAGCAAGCUUUUCAGCAUCCAAACUGUUUAGUGUUAGAACCUGGCUCUGCAGUAAUCAGCCCUUGGAGAUAUAAUUAUGCACCCAAAACCCUCUGACCCUCAGAGGAAGAUCAAUAACUCAUGCCUUGUGCAGUUUUAUACAGGAUUAAAAGAGAUACUAUGAGAUAGGUUUAAUGUAGUCCUGCCCCAUAGAAAGUGAUCCCAAAUGUUAUCUAUGGGAAUUACUAGUUUCCAAAACGGACACUAUUCAAAAAGUGAUUUUAUCUUAUGGAGCUAGACAACUCUAAGUUGUCUUCCAUACAAUAAAAUCUAAAGUUCUGUGACUCAAACAUUGGAAGGCUAAUAAUUACAUUUUAACAGAUUUCCCUAGCACAGUUACAUAAUGAUUAUAAAUACCUUAAAUCAGACAUUUUGGUCUUUACUGUCCAUAAAUAAAUCCUGAAUACACUAAUCUAUAUAUAUAAGUCAGUGUGUGGGAAAUAAUCCAUAUAAACCCUUAACAUAUAAAGUAAUGUGUUAUGUAUAGUUCCCAUGUAACUCUAUAUUUUGCCUGUGCCUCAAUUGAUAUUUUAGUUAGUGAUACAUAUGAAUG